GACGAACGCUGGCGGCGCGCCUAACACAUGCAAGUCGAGCGGGAACCUCAGGAGGGGUAACCCUCCUGAGGGGAGAGCGGCGAGCGGGUGAGUAACACGUGGGCGACCUGCCCCGGACACCGGGAUAACCCAGGGAAACCUGAGCUAAUACCGGAUACUCCGGCGAGAUCGCAUGGUCGCGCCGGGAAAGCUCCGACGGUCCGGGAUGGGCCCGCGGCCUAUCAGCUUGUUGGUGGGGUAACGGCCCACCAAGGCGACGACGGGUAGCUGGUCUGAGAGGACGACCAGCCACACUAGGACUGAGACACGGCCCAGACUCCUACGGGAGGCAGCAGUGGGGGAUCUUGCGCUAAUGCGCGAAGGCGUGACGCAGCGACGCCGCGUGGGGGAUGAAGGCCCUCGGGUUGUAAACCCCUUUCGGCAGGGACGAAGCGAAAGUGACGGUACCUGCAGAAGAAGUCCCGGCUAACUACGUGCCAGCCGCCGCGGUAAUAC
rnacentral:rRNA from 1 species